GACGAACCGUACGAACGUUAUUCGGAAUCACUGGGCUUAAAGGGUGCGUAGGCGGUCCGGUAAGUUGGGUGUGAAAUACCUCGGCUCAACCGAGGAAUUGCGCCCAAAACUGUCGGACUUGAGGGAGAUAGAGGUGAGCGGAACUUAGGGUGGAGCGGUGAAAUGCGUUGAUAUCCUAAGGAACACCAGGGGCGAAAGCGGCUCACUGGAUCUCUACUGACGCUGAGGCACGAAAGCUAGGGGAG
rnacentral:rRNA from 1 species